rnacentral:rRNA from 1 species
UACGUAGGGUGCGAGCGUUGUCCGGAAUUAUUGGGCGUAAAGAGCUCGUAGGCGGUUUGUUGCGUCUAUCGUGAAAACCUGCAGCUUAACUGUGGGCUUGCGGUGGAUACGGGCAGACUUGAGUUCGGUAGGGGAGACUGGAAUUCCUGGUGUAGCGGUGAAAUGCGCAGAUAUCAGGAGGAACACCGGUGGCGAAGGCGGUUCUCUGGGAAUGACCUGACGCUGAGGAGCGAAAGUGUGGGGAGCGAACAGG